rnacentral:rRNA from 1 species
CCUACGGGUGGCAGCAGUGGGGAAUAUUGCGCAAUGGGCGAAAGCCUGACGCAGCGACGCCGCGUGAGGGAUGAAGGUCUUCGGAUCGUAAACCUCUGUCAGCAGGGAAGAACGGUCACUGUGCUAAUCAGCAGUGAAUUGACGGUACCUGCAAAGGAAGCACCGGCUAACGCCGUGCCAGCAGCCGCGGUAAUACGGAGGGUGCGAGCGUUAAUCGGAAUUACUGGGCGUAAAGCGCUCGUAGGCGGUAUGUCAAGUCAAGGGUGAAAUCCCCGGGCUCAACGUGGGAACUGCCUUUGAAACUGGCAAACUGGAGUGUGUGAGAGGGUAGUGGAAUUCCAGGUGUAGGAGUGAAAUGCGUAGAUAUCUGGAAGAACAUCAGUGGCGAAGGCGACUAUCUGGCACAUAACUGACGCUGAGGAGCGAAAGCGUGGGUAGCAAACAGGAUUAGAUACCCCAGUAGUC